CAGACGAAACGGGCGCAGCAGCGACGUACUACGUGCGGCUUAUGUGGAUGAAAGCAAAGCUAUGAGAAGGUGGCUCUGCACUGGCUACAUCACGAAAUGCUGCGUUUUAGGAUACAGGAACCGUAGCGACACGGUUGGUUCGUCUGUUUCAUUACAUCGAUUUCCGAAGAAUGCUCGCCAGAGGGAACUUUGGAUUAAGGUCGUCCAAAAGGCUGGUGUCCGUCCAAAUGGAGUGUCAUGUGCCGCCUGCACUUUACCCCUGGGGGACUCAGGCAAACGAAAGCAGGGAUACGGAAGCUUGGCAAAUAUGCCAUGCCAAGACUGUCUGACGGCGAGUUCCAGAGGCAGAAUCGGGAGGAAGCAGCUGAUGCAGCUGACUCUUUUGAUGUUGAUGCCACAAGUGCAACUCCUUCUGCAAAUGAACGGCUCAUGCCUCGCCAGCCUAUAAGAGCCACUGGAUGCAGAAAUGGAAGAGACUGCACCAAAUGUACAGGGAAAUGCUGAAGGUCCUUUCACAGGCCUAAACAAAGCAGAAACGGACACUUCUGCCACUGCUAUACUGUCGGUCCAAACCAGGACCAAGACAGGAGUGGUAACAAUAUAUCACCAUACAGCAAGCAGUGAACGGAACAAUAGAAUACAGCAAUAUAUGCCCUAUCAUUAAAAAUAUUCGGACAAAAGUUCGGAAAACUGGUCGUGGGUCCCUGCGUUUACGUUUGCAGGGCGACAAUUCCAGUCACGUGCUGUCGAAAGGAAGAAUGAGUAUUUGUAGCAAUGCUUAUGAAAUCGAUUUUCCUUAACGUGUCUGCUAUGUUUAUUUCGCACCAUGUGGGUCUUAGAUUCAUUUAUGUAGCGAU